rnacentral:rRNA from 1 species
UACAGAGGGGGCAAGCGUUGUUCGGAAUUACUGGGCGUAAAGGGCGCGUAGGCGGCCUGCUAAGUCGAACGUGAAAUCCCUGGGCUCAACCCAGGAACUGCGUCCGAUACUGGUUGGCUUGAAUCCGGGAGAGGGAUGUGGAAUUCCAGGUGUAGCGGUGAAAUACGUAGAUAUCUGGAGGAACACCGGUGGCGAAGGCGACAUCCUGGACCGGUAUUGACGCUGAGGCGCGAAAGCCAGGGGAGCAAAGCGGG